GCUGCGGGCCGUGACUGGCGCGUCGGGAUGGGACCAACCAUCGGGGAGCGGCCUUCGCCGUCGCGCGAUGCUGGAGAGCCGUGCGCCUGGGCCAUCGCG
rnacentral:ncRNA from 1 species